AGGUUAAGUGAAUAAGGGCGCACGGUGGAUGCCUUGGCACUAGGAGCCGAUGAAGGACGGGACUAACACCGAUAUGCUUUGGGGAGCUGUACGUAAGCUAUGAUCCAGAGAUUUCCGAAUGGGGGAACCCAACAUCUUUAAUAGGAUGUUACGAUUGUGUGAAUACAUAGCACAUUCGAGGUAGACGCAGAGAACUGAAACAUCUAAGUACCUGCAGGAAGAGAAAGAAAAUUCGAUUCCCUGAGUAGCGGCGAGCGAAACGGGAAAAGCCCAAACCAGCAAGCUUGCUUGUUGGGGUUGUAGGACUCCAAUAUGGUAGUUCUUUCAGAUAGUCGAAUGACUUGGAAAAGUCAGUCAAAGAGGGUAAAAACCCCGUAGACGAAAUGUGGAAGACACCUAGGAGGAUCCUGAGUACGGCGGAACACGAGAAAUUCCGUCGGAAUCCGGGAGGACCAUCUCCCAAGGCUAAAUACUCCCUAGUGACCGAUAGUGAACCAGUACCGUGAGGGAAAGGUGAAAAGCACCCCGGAAGGGGAGUGAAAUAGAACCUGAAACCGUGUGCCUACAACAAGUCAAAGCCCGUUAAUGGGUGAUGGCGUGCCUUUUGUAGAAUGAACCGGCGAGUUACGAUUGCAUGCGAGGUUAAGUUGAAGAGACGGAGCCGCAGCGAAAGCGAGUCUGAAUAGGGCGUUUGAGUAUGUAGUCGUAGACCCGAAACCAUGUGAUCUACCCAUGUCCAGGUUGAAGGUGCGGUAAAACGCACUGGAGGACCGAACCCACGUACGUUGAAAAGUGCGGGGAUGAGGUGUGGGUAGCGGAGAAAUUCCAAACGAACUUGGAGAUAGCUGGUUCUCUCCGAAAUAGCUUUAGGGCUAGCCUCGGAAUUGAGAAUGAUGGAGGUAGAGCACUGUUUGGACUAGGGGCCCAUCUCGGGUUACCGAAUUCAGAUAAACUCCGAAUGCCAUUCAUUCAUAUCCGGGAGUCAGACUGUGAGUGAUAAGAUCCAUAGUCGAAAGGGAAACAGCCCAGACCACCAGCUAAGGUCCCAAAAUAUAUGUUAAGUGGAAAAGGAUGUGGGGUUGCACAGACAACUAGGAUGUUGGCUUAGAAGCAGCCAUCAUUUAAAGAGUGCGUAAUAGCUCACUAGUCGAGUGACCCUGCGCCGAAAAUGUACCGGGGCUAAACAUAUUACCGAAGCUGUGGAGUACACCUUUAGGUGUAUUGGUAGGAGAGCGUUCUAAGGGCGUUGAAGGCAGAUCGUGAGGACUGCUGGAGCGCUUAGAAGUGAGAAUGCCGGUAUGAGUAGCGAAAGACAGGUGAGAAUCCUGUCCACCGAAUGACUAAGGUUUCCUGGGGAAGGCUCGUCCGCCCAGGGUUAGUCGGGACCUAAGCCGAGGCCGAUAGGCGUAGGCGAUGGAUAACAGGUUGAUAUUCCUGUACCCGUUGUUUUUGUUUGAGCAAUGGAGGGACGCAGGAGGCUAAGGAAUGCAGACGAUCGGAAAUGUCUGUCCAAGCAGUAAGUCUGAAGAGGAGUCAAAUGCUUCUUUUCUUAAGGACAAGCUGUGAUGGGGAGGGAAAUAAUAGUACCGAAGUUCCUGAUGUCACACUGCCGAGAAAAGCUUCUAGUGAGAAAACAGCGGCCCGUACCGCAAACCGACACAGGUAGUCGAGGAGAGAAUCCUAAGGUGAGCGAGAGAACUCUCGUUAAGGAACUCGGCAAAAUGACCCCGUAACUUCGGGAGAAGGGGUGCUGAUCAUACGAUCAGCCGCAGUGAAUAGGCCCAAGCGACUGUUUAUCAAAAACACAGGUCUCUGCAAAAUCGUAAGAUGAAGUAUAGGGGCUGACGCCUGCCCGGUGCUGGAAGGUUAAGAGGAGUGCUUAGCGCAAGCGAAGGUACGAAUUGAAGCCCCAGUAAACGGCGGCCGUAACUAUAACGGUCCUAAGGUAGCGAAAUUCCUUGUCGGGUAAGUUCCGACCCGCACGAAAGGCGUAACGAUUUGGGCACUGUCUCAACGAGAGACUCGGUGAAAUUUUAGUACCUGUGAAGAUGCAGGUUACCCGCGACAGGACGGAAAGACCCCAUGGAGCUUUACUGUAGUUUGAUAUUGAGUGUCUGUACCGCAUGUACAGGAUAGGUAGGAGCCGUAGAAAUCGGAACGCUAGUUUCGAUGGAGGCGCUGGUGGGAUACUACCCCUGCGUUAUGGCCACUCUAACCCGCACCACUAAUCGUGGUGGGAGACAGUGUCAGAUGGGCAGUUUGACUGGGGCGGUCGCCUCCUAAAAGGUAACGGAGGCGCCCAAAGGUUCCCUCAGAAUGGUUGGAAAUCAUUCGAAGAGUGUAAAGGCAGAAGGGAGCUUGACUGCGAGACCAACAAGUCGAGCAGGGACGAAAGUCGGGCUUAGUGAUCCGGUGGUUCCGCAUGGAAGGGCCAUCGCUCAACGGAUAAAAGCUACCCUGGGGAUAACAGGCUUAUCUCCCCCAAGAGUCCACAUCGACGGGGAGGUUUGGCACCUCGAUGUCGGCUCGUCGCAUCCUGGGGCUGUAGUCGGUCCCAAGGGUUGGGCUGUUCGCCCAUUAAAGCGGCACGCGAGCUGGGUUCAGAACGUCGUGAGACAGUUCGGUCCCUAUCCGUCGCGGGCGUUGGAAAUUUGAGAGGAGCUGUCCUUAGUACGAGAGGACCGGGAUGGACUUACCGCUGGUGUACCAGUUGUUCUGCCAAGGGCAUUGCUGGGUAGCUAUGUAGGGAAGGGAUAAACGCUGAAAGCAUCUAAGUGUGAAGCCCACCUCAAGAUGAGAUUUCCCAUUUCUUUAAGAAAGUAAGAUCCCUGAGAGAUGAUCAGGUAGAUAGGUCAGGAGUGGAAGUACAGUGAUGUAUGGAGCGGACUGAUACUAAUCGAUCGAGGACUUAACCAAU
rnacentral:rRNA from 1 species